GUAGGUGGCUUGUAAAGUGAAUAGUGAAACCUGGUGGCUCAACCAUACAGACUAUUAUUCAAACUCACAAGCUCGAGAGUAGCAGAGGUAACNUGGAAUUUCUUGUGUAGGAGUGAAAUCCGUAGAUAUAAGAAGGAACACCAAUGGCGUAGGCAGGUUACUGGGCUAUUUCUGACACUGAGGCACGAAAGCGUGGGGAGCGAACCGGAUUAGAUACCCGGGUAGUCCACGCCGUAAACGAUGGAUACUAGCUGUUGGAGGUAUCGACCCCUUCAGUAGCGAAGCUAACGCGUUAAGUAUCCCGCCUGUGGAGUACGGUCGCAAGACUAAAACAUAAAGGAAUUGACGGGGACCCGCACAAGCGGUGGAUCGUGUUCUUUAAUUCGAUGAUAAACGAAGAACCUUACCAGGGUUUGACAUCCUUGGAAUUUCUGUGAAAGCAGAGAGUGCUUUAUUGAGCCAAGUGACAGGUGAUGCAUGGCCGUCGUCAGCUCGUGUCGUGAGAUGUUUGGUUAAGUCCAUCAACGAGCGCAACCCUUGUGAAUAGUUGUAUUUUUCUAUUCAGACUGCCCCGGUAACGGGGAGGAANGAGGGGAUGAUGUCAGGUCAGUAUUUCCCUUACACCCUGGGNCUAGAAACACGAUACAAUGGUUAGUACAAUGCCCAGCGAANCCGCNAGGUGGAGCAAAUCGCA
rnacentral:rRNA from 1 species